AUCCAGGGAGACCACUCUCUAAGGCUAAAUACUCUCCUAUGACCGAUAGUGAACCAGUACCGUGAGGGAAAGGUGAAAAGCACCCCGAGAGGGGAGUGAAAUAGUACCUGAAACCGUGUGCCUACAAGCAGUCGGAGCACCUUCGUGGUGUGACGGCGUGCCUUUUGUAGAAUGAGCCAGCGAGUUACGGUAUGUUGCGAGGUUAAGCUUGGAAGCGAGCCGCAGCGAAAGCGAGUCUUUAAACGGGCGUUCAGUUGCAUAUCGUAGACGCGAAGCCGGGUGAGCUAUCCAUGGGCAGGCUGAAGCGGGAGUAAGAUCUCGUGGAGGGCCGAACCCACUUCGGUUGAAAACGGAGGGGAUGACCUGUGGAUAGGAGUGAAAGGCUAAUCAAACCCGGAGAUAUCUCGUUCUCCCCGAAAUAGCUUUAGGGCUAGCCUCGAUCGUUUAUUUACGGCGGUAGAGCACUGGAAGGGUGAGGGGGCUUCACCGCUUACUGAACCUUACCAAACUCCGAAUGCCGUAAAUCCAGAGAUCGGGAGUCAGAAUAUGUGGGCUAAGCUGUGUAUUCGAAAGGGAAACAGCCCAGACCGCCUGCUAAGGUCCCUAAAUCCAUGCUAAGUGGCAAAGGAUGUGCGUUUGCCUAGACAACUAGGAUGUUGGCUUAGAAGCAGCCAUUCAUUUAAAGAGUGCGUAACAGCUCACUAGUCGAGUGGACAUGCGCCGACAAUUCACGGGGCUAAGUAUGGUACCGAAGCAGCGGACUGUUUUAACAGUGGUAGGGGAGCGUUCCAUGUGGGUCGAAGCAGAGCGGGUGACCGUCUGUGGACUGCAUGGAAGUGCGAAUGCUGGCAUGAGUAACGAGAGAGACGUGAAAAACGUCUCCGCCGUAAGUCCAAGGUUUCCUGGGCAAGGCUAAUCCCCCCAGGGUCAGUCGGGAGCUAAGGCGAGGCCGCAAGGCGUAGUCGAUGCACAACAGGUAGACAUUCCUGUACCAUCUGAGACUCGUUAUACCAAUGGGGCGACGGAGAAGGAUAGCUGGGCGGGGUUCUGGACGUCCCCGUGAAAGCGCGUAGUCCGGUAGAGUAGGCAAAUCCGCUCUACCUUUAAGGAUGAGGCGUGACGACGAAGCGAAUGCGUGAAGUCAGUGAUUCCAUGCUUCAUAUAAAAACCUCUAGGAAGAAUCUCAGGUGCCCGUACCAAAACCGACACAGGUGGACGGGUAGAGCAUACCAAGGCGAUCGGGAGAACUAUGGUUAAGGAACUCGGCAUACUGACUCCGUAACUUCGGGAGAAGGAGUGCCCCCGCCUGUGAGGUCCCACGCGGACGGAGCGGGAGGGGGUCGCAGCGAAACGGCCCAAGCGACUGUUUACCAAAAACACAGGACUCUGCAAAGCCGCAAGGCGACGUAUAGGGUCUGACGCCUGCCCGGUGCCGGAAGGUCACGCGGAGGAGUUAGCGCAUCGCGCGAAGCCCCGAAGCCAAGCCCCGGUAAACGGCGGCCGUAACUAUAACGGUCCUAAGGUAGCGAAAUUCCUUGUCGGGUAAGUUCCGACCUGCACGAAUGGCGUAACGAUUUGGGCGCUGUCUCAACCAUAGACCCGGUGAAAUUGUAUUAUUCGUGAAGAUGCGAAUUACCCACGGAAGGACGGAAAGACCCCGUGAACCUUUACUACAGCUUGACAUUGUUCACCGGUUCGUCGUGUAGAGGAUAGGUGGGAGACUAUGAAACCUGGGCGCCAGCCUGGGCGGAGUCACCCUUGGAAUACCACCCUCGGCGUAUUGGUGAUCUAACCUGCGACCGUUAUCCGGCGUGGGGACCGUGUCAGGUGGGUAGUUUGACUGGGGCGGUCGCCUCCUAAAAUGUAACGGAGGCGCACGUAAGGUUCGCUCAGGUUGGUUGGCAAUCAACCUUUUGAGUGCAAGAGCAUAAGCGGGCUUGACUGCGAGACCUACAAGUCGAGCAGAGUGGAAACACGGUUCUAGUGAUCCGGCGGCUCAGAGUGGAAUGGCCGUCGCUCAACGGAUAAAAGGUACUCCGGGGAUAACAGGCUGAUCUUGCCCAAGAGUCCACAUCGACGGCAAGGUUUGGCACCUCGAUGUCGGCUCAUCGCAUCCUGGGGCUGAAGUCGGUCCCAAGGGUUGGGCUGUUCGCCCAUUAAAGCGGUACGCGAGCUGGGUUCAGAACGUCGUGAGACAGUUCGGUCCCUAUCCUCCGUGGGCGUAAGAGAAUUGAGGAGAUCUGCCCCUAGUACGAGAGGACCGGGGUGGACGAACCUCUGGUGUACCAGUUGUUGACCAACAGCACCGCUGGUUAGCUACGUUCGGAUCGGAUAACCGCUGAAAGCAUCUAAGCGGGAAGUCGGCUCCAAGAUGAGUUCUCUUUGUGGUAAGGCCCCUUGUAGACUACGAGGUUGAUAGGCUGCAGCUGUAAGGUGUGUGAGCAUUUCAGGCGAGCAGUACUAAUUGGCCGAGCUCUUCUUAUU
rnacentral:rRNA from 1 species